AGAGAUAAAAAUAUUUCCCAAAUAGGAGACCCCCUGCUGAAAUUCUUGCCUUCUGUUCUGUGCUGUUGGUGCUGGAUGAUGGGCUUUGCAGUAGACACCCCUGGUUUCCCCGGGCAUUACAUGACCUUGAGCGUCAUCUGUGGUGUGUUAUUUGGCCGCUGUUCCCUUCUUCUGGCUCUGCUUUUGUCGUGUUAAAUUGCAAUUGCUCUACUCGCUGUCCUUUGUUGUCGCCGGGCGCUUGUAGCUGGAAUAUGUUAGUGGUAUGUAAUUAUUUGAACUGAAACUGUUGAGAUGGGAGCAGAGAAUUAACGUUUUUGGCUCCGGCAGGGAGACAGUCCAGGCUGCCCCUGCUAGCUCAUUCCUUGAGAACCGCCCUUUCAAGCGAUGACUUGACCUGUGGGAAGGGAAUCGUUGCUGGCAUUUUGCCCCAUCCAAUGCCCUGCGCCCCUUCAGGUCUUCUGGCUGGGUUGUCCACCAGCCUCCAUCAGGCAGCGCCGCCUGCCCAUUUACCCCACAGUUUGCCAGAUAGUUCUCAGCUACACAGCAAAGGGCCCAAUGUACAACCACGGAAAUUGUGACAGUUCUGAGAAAAGGAAAAGGAAAAUAAAAAGGACACAACCACCUCUGGGGGGGGAAAAAGCCUGCAGAAUGCAGCAAGGGAGCUCUCCCGUUGCUUCCUUGCUCUUCCUCCUUCAGUGGCAUCCACACUUCCCCU
rnacentral:lncRNA from 1 species